UACGAAGGGGGCUAGCGUUGCUCGGAAUCACUGGGCGUAAAGCGCACGUAAGCGGCUUUUAAGUCAGGGUGAAAUCCUGGAGCUCAACUCCAGAACUGCCUUUGAUACUGAGAAGCUUGAGUCCGGGAGAGGUGAGUGGAACUGCGAGUGUAGAGGUGAAAUUCGUAGAUAUUCGCAAGAACACCAGUGGCGAAGGCGGCUCACUGGCCCGGUACUGACGCUGAGGUGCGAAAGCGUGGGAGCAACAGG
rnacentral:rRNA from 1 species